GAUAGCUUGCUAGUUGCUGACGAGUGGCGGACGGGUGAGUAAUGCUUAGGGAUCUGCCUUUAGGAGGGGGAUAACCAUUGGAAACGAUGGCUAAUACCGCAUAAUGUCUACGGACCAAAGGGGGCUUCGGCUCUCACCUAGAGAGGAACCUAAGUGAGAUUAGCUAGUUGGUGAGGUAAAGGCUCACCAAGGCGACGAUCUCUAGCUGUUCUGAGAGGAAGAUCAGCCACACUGGAACUGAGACACGGUCCAGACUCCUACGGGAGGCAGCAGUGGGGAAUAUUGCACAAUGGGGGAAACCCUGAUGCAGCCAUGCCGCGUGUGUGAAGAAGGCCUUCGGGUUGUAAAGCACUUUCAGUUGUGAGGAAAGGUUAGUAGUUAAUACCUGCUAGCUGUGACGUUAACAACAGAAGAAGCACCGGCUAACUCCGUGCCAGCAGCCGCGGUAAUACGGAGGGUGCGAGCGUUAAUCGGAAUUACUGGGCGUAAAGCGCACGCAGGCGGUUUGUUAAGCUAGAUGUGAAAGCCCCGGGCUCAACCUGGGAUGGUCAUUUAGAACUGGCAGACUAGAGUUUUGGAGAGGGGAGUGGAAUUCCAGGUGUAGCGGUGAAAUGCGUAGAUAUCUGGAGGAACAUCAGUGGCGAAGGCGACUCUCUGGCCAAAGACUGACGCUCAUGUGCGAAAGUGUGGGUAGCGAACAGGAUUAGAUACCCUGGUAGUCCACACUGUAAACGCUGUCUACUAGCUGUUUGUGUAUUUAAUACGUGAGUAGCGAAGCUAACGCGCUAAGUAGACCGCCUGGGGAGUACGGCCGCAAGGUUAAAACUCAAAUGAAUUGA
rnacentral:rRNA from 1 species